UUGGAGGGCAAGUCUGGUGCCAGCAGCCGCGGUAAUUCCAGCUCCAAUAGCGUAUAUUAAAGUUGUUGCAGUUAAAAAGCUCGUAGUUGAAUUUCGGGGUUAGUAGGUUGGUCAUGCCUCUGGUAUGCACUGGUCUCACUGAUUCCUCCUUCCUGAUGAGCCGUAAUGCCAUUAAUUUGGUGUUGCGGGGAAUUUGGACUGUUACUUUGAAAAAAUUAGAGUGUUUAAAGCAAGCUAACGCUUGAAUACAUUAGCAUGGAAUAAUGAAAUAGGACGUUCGAUCCUAUUUUGUUGGUUUCUAUGAUUGACGUAAUGAUUAAUAGGGAUAGUUGGGGGCAUUAGUAUUCAAUUGUCAGAGGUGAAAUUCUUGGAUUUAUUGAAGACUAACUACUGCGAAAGCAUUUGCCAAGGAUGUUUUCAUUAAUCAAGAACGAAAGUUAGGGGAUCGAAGACGAUCAGAUACCGUCGUAGUCUUAACCAUAAACUAUGCCGACUAGGGAUCGGAUGAUGUUAAUUUUUUAAUGACUCAUUCGGCGCCUUACGGGAAAC
rnacentral:rRNA from 1 species